GAUGAACGCUGGCGGCGUGCCUAAUACAUGCAAGUCGAGCGAACGGACGAGAAGCUUGCUUCUCUGAUGUUAGCGGCGGACGGGUGAGUAACACGUGGAUAACCUACCUAUAAGACUGGGAUAACUUCGGGAAACCGGAGCUAAUACCGGAUAAUAUUUUGAACCGCAUGGUUGAAAAGUGAAAGACGGUCUUGCUGUCACUUAUAGAUGGAUCCGCGCUGCAUUAGCUAGUUGGUAAGGUAACGGCUUACCAAGGCAACGAUGCAUAGCCGACCUGAGAGGGUGAUCGGCCACACUGGAACUGAGACACGGUCCAGACUCCUACGGGAGGCAGCAGUAGGGAAUCUUCCGCAAUGGGCGAAAGCCUGACGGAGCAACGCCGCGUGAGUGAUGAAGGUCUUCGGAUCGUAAAACUCUGUUAUUAGGGAAGAACAUAUGUGUAAGUAACUGUGCACAUCUUGACGGUACCUAAUCAGAAAGCCACGGCUAACUACGUG
rnacentral:rRNA from 1 species